rnacentral:tRNA from 1 species
GCGCCUGUGGUGAAAUUGGUAGACACACUGGAUUUAGGUUCCAGCGACGAAAGUUGUAAGGGUUCGAGUCCCUUUGGGCGCACCA